rnacentral:rRNA from 1 species
UACCUGGGCUCACACGUGCUACAAUGGGAAGUACAACGAGUUGCGAAGUCGCGAGGCUAAGCUAAUCUCUUAAAGCUUCUCUCAGUUCGGAUUGCAGGCUGCAACUCGCCUGCAUGAAGCCGGAAUCGCUAGUAAUCGCGGAUCAGCACGCCGCGGUGAAUACGUUCCCGGGCCUUGUACACACCGCCCGUCACACCACGAGAGUUUGUAACACCCGAAGUCGGUGAGGUAACCUUUUNGGANCCAGCCGCNUAAGGNGGNAUANAUNAUNGGGGUGAAGUCNUANCANGGUACCCGNNUCGNAAGGUGCGGUNGGAUCACC